GAUGUUAGCGGCGGACGGGUGAGUAACACGUGGGUAACCUGCCUGUAAGACUGGGAUAANUCCGGGAAACCGGGGCUAAUACCGGAUGGUUGUUUGAACCGCAUGGUUCAGACAUAAAAGGUGGCUUCGGCUACCACUUACAGAUGGACCCGCGGCGCAUUAGCUAGUUGGUGAGGUAACGGCUCACCAAGGCNACGAUGCGUAGCCGACCUGAGAGGGUGAUCGGCCACACUGGGACUGAGACACGGCCCAGACUCCUACGGGAGGCAGCAGUAGGGAAUCUUCCGCAAUGGACGAAAGUCUGACGGAGCAACGCCGCGUGAGUGAUGAAGGUUUUCGGAUCGUAAAGCUCUGUUGUUAGGGAAGAACAAGUGCCGUUCAAAUAGGGCGGCACCUUGACGGUACCUAACCAGAAAGCCACGGCUAACUACGUGCCAGCAGCCGCGGUAAUACGUAGGUGGCAAGCGUUGUCCGGAAUUAUUGGGCGUAAAGGGCUCGCAGGCGGUUUCUUAAGUCUGAUGUGAAAGCCCCCGGCUCAACCGGGGAGGGUCAUUGGAAACUGGGGAACUUGAGUGCAGAAGAGGAGAGUGGAAUUCCACGUGUAGCGGUGAAAUGCGUAGAGAUGUGGAGGAACACCAGUGGCGAAGGCGACUCUCUGGUCUGUAACUGACGCUGAGGAGCGAAAGCGUGGGGAGCGAACAGGAUUAGAUACCCUGGUAGUCCACGCCGUAAACGAUGAGUGCUAAGUGUUAGGGGGUUUCCGCCCCUUAGUGCUGCAGCUAACGCAUUAAGCACUCCGCCUGGGGAGUACGGUCGCAAGACUGAAACUCAAAGGAAUUGACGGGGGCCCGCACAAGCGGUGGAGCAUGUGGUUUAAUUCGAAGCAACGCGAAGAACCUUACCAGGUCUUGACAUCCUCUGACAAUCCUAGAGAUAGGACGUCCCCUUCGGGGGCAGAGUGACAGGUGGUGCAUGGUUGUCGUCAGCUCGUGUCGUGAGAUGUUGGGUUAAGUCCCGCAACGAGCGCAACCCUUGAUCUUAGUUGCCAGCAUUCAGUUGGGCACUCUAAGGUGACUGCCGGUGACAAACCGGAGGAAGGUGGGGAUGACGUCAAAUCAUCAUGCCCCUUAUGACCUGGGCUACACACGUGCUACAAUGGACAGAACAAAGGGCAGCGAAACCGCGAGGUUAAGCCAAUCCCACAAAUCUGUUCUCAGUUCGGAUCGCAGUCUGCAACUCGACUGCGUGAAGCUGGNANUCGCUAGUAUCGCCAGAAUCAGCAUGCC
rnacentral:rRNA from 1 species